AAAAUUAUUUUGCUCUGUCUUGUACGAGUCGUGUUUUUAUCCAAAACUCGGUCUUCCUUUCGGUUGUUCGGCUGUUGUACAAGACAAAUAAUUGCAAAUUUUCUUCUUUUGAAAAAUAUUCCAUCAAACAUGGCACUUCGUCUGUUCCGUCUCAGCCAGGAUUUAGUCACUCCGUUAAUCAAACGGGGUUGUGCUGUAUCGGCAUUCGAGCUACAGCACAAAAAUCCAAUCCAGCGCAAGGUGGAGCAGAUUCCGGUGGCACAGUACGGAGGCCGACACACGGUAACCAUGCUACCGGGCGGUGGUAUUGGGCCGGAGCUGAUGAACUACGUUAGAGAGGUAUUCCGGUUUGCCGGUGUACCGGUGGAUUUUGAAAUUGUAGACAUCGAUCCGGCGAGCGAGGGAAACGAAGAUCUGGAGUACGCUAUCAUGUCUAUCAAACGGAACGGUGUAGCUAUCAAGGGAAACAUUGAGACCAAAUCGGAAUCGACUGGGAUCGUUUCGCGUAAUGUGGCUCUCCGAAAUGAACUGGAUUUGUACGUGAAUGUGCUGCAUUGUAAAUCGUUCAAUGCCAUCCCCGCGCAUCAUCAGAACGUGGAUGUUGUCAUCAUCCGACAAAAUACGGAGGGUGAAUAUGCUAUGCUGGAGCACGAGAGUGUCCGUGGUGUGGUGGAAAGCAUGAAGGUGAUAACGGUGGAGAAUGCGGCUCGAGUGGCCCGAUUUGCGUUCGAGUUUGCCCGCAAUAACAAUCGCAAGAAGGUGACCACCAUUCACAAGGCCAACAUUAUGAAACUUGCCGACGGAAUGUUUCUGAAGGUGGCCCGUGAUGUUGCCAAAGAGUAUCCGGACAUUCAGCACAACGAUAUGAUCAUCGACAACUGCUGUAUGCAGCUGGUAUCCAACCCGCAUCAGUUCGACGUGAUGAACACGACAAACCUGUACGGUAGCAUCACUUCCAACGUGCUGUGCGGUUUGGUGGGAGGUGCUGGUCUGUUCUCCGGUCGGAACUACGGCGAUCAUUACGCGGUUUUUGAACCGGGUACCCGUAACACUGGCACUUCCAUUGCCGGUAAGAACGUGGCCAACCCGGUGGCCAUGCUGAACGCUGCCGUCGACAUGCUGUACCAUUUGGGCCAUCGGUACCAUGCCGAUAGUAUUUCCGAUGCACUGCACAAGACAAUCGACGUUGACGGAAUUCACACACCGGACUUGGGUGGUCAAAACACCAGUACGGAAAUCGUGCAGAAAGUUCUGCAGCAUCUGGCCGAGAAGAGAACCUAUUGGCAACCGUCGAGCUGGUGAUGAGAUGCUAAAUGUCCUCUGCGCAAAACCUCCCAAAGAUUGUACCUACUUAUUUUCGCAUAUUAACAGUCAAUAUUUUUUUUCCUCAAAAGCAAACUAAUUGUGCCGCGAAACUCACGAGAAAGCUUAACCAGUAGACGAUUGUUUAAUGUUUUACGUUUCCCUCCGAACCAAAUAAAAACAAAACUGCUCCUUCUGUUGAAUCUAAACAAGCGCUGCUUGGUUUGCAUGAUAGGUGUUAAAAUUAACCAUAGUACGUGUAUAGGUUAAAAAAAAUGGGUAAAUCAAACGUAGAGGCAUCCAAGUGACCGUUGACAAUCCCACCUAUUGGUGUUUGAUUCUUUUGGAACAGCAACAAGAUUUCGUUCAGAGGAGAAUCUCACGACUGCAACCCCCCAAUUUGUUGUGUUCUAUUUAUAUUAAGUUAUGGAAGCGCAAAACAAGCUUAUUCUUUUACCUUCGAGAUCCUCUCUACCAAAAGCAACAGUAACAGUACGAGCAAAGUUUACGGGCUAAAACAAAACAUCAACAACAACAACAACCAAAAGAACGAAACUAUGCAUAAAACAAAACCCCCCAGGUAAGCUGUAGGUACCUACCAGCUGAUAGAAGUGGAAAGCGAAAUUUCAUAAAUAAAUCAUGGCAACCAACCGUCGGACGUUCCGCUGCUGCUGCUGCUGCCGGAUGCCCACUAAAAGUCACCGAGAAUAAUCACAACAGACAAUCGCUAUCCAAGUAACCGGAGCAACUCUUGACGUACAAACGUACAGGUCCAGGGUGGCAUAGCGAUGCUGCUGGGAAAUUGUACCUUUUGGAAGAGUUUAGCUUGAUCUCCUAUCCUCCCGAAUUAUUUUAUGUUCUCGGAAGAAAUGAAAAAAAAACUGAACGAAAAAGUUUAUGUUUCGCAGAAAUCGUUUGGUUGCAUUCGGACUGUUGAUAAGAAACGAAAUAUCGUUAGUGAAAAAUUAUAAAACUACUAUGGAAACAGCCAAUCUGUUGAUUCUGUGUAAAAAACUCCAUUUAUAGCGUCCGUUAAAAAUGUACUUAAAGCGAAUUUGCAGAAAAAAACCGUUGAUGAAUCGAAA